UACAGAGGUCUCAAGCGUUGUUCGGAUUCAUUGGGCGUAAAGGGUGCGUAGGUGGCGCCGUAAGUCGGGUGUGAAAUUUCGGAGCUUAACUCCGAAACUGCAUUCGAUACUGCGGUGCUUGAGGACUGGAGAGGAGACUGGAAUUCAUGGUGUAGCAGUGAAAUGCGUAGAUAUCGUAAGGAAGACCAGUGGCAAAGGCGGGUCUCUGGACAGUUCCUGACGCUGAGGCACGAAGGUCAGGGGAGCAAACGGG
rnacentral:rRNA from 1 species